UACGUAGGGGGCAAGCGUUGUCCGGAUUUAUUGGGCGUAAAGAGCGUGUAGGCGGUCAGGUAGGUCCGUUGUGAAAACUCGAGGCUCAACCUCGAGACGCCGAUGGAAACCAUCUGACUAGAGUCCGGAAGAGGAGAGUGGAAUUCCUGGUAUAGCGGUGAAAUGCGCAGAUAUCAGGAAGAACACCCGUGGCUAAGGCGGCUCUCUAGUACGGUACUGACGCUGAGACGCGAAAGCGUGGGGAGCGAACAGG
rnacentral:rRNA from 1 species